CCUACGGGUGGCAGCAGUGGGGAAUUUUCGACAAUGGGCGCAAGCCUGAUCCAGCUAUUCCGCGUGUGGGAUGACGGCCCUCGGGUUGUAAACCUCUUUAGUAGAGAACGAAAGACGGCUAUCGAAUAAGUCGCUCUGCUGACGGUACUCUAUGAGUCAGCACCGGCUAACUACGUGCCAGCAGCCGCGGUAAUACGUAGGGGGCGAGCGUUAUCCGGAAUUAUUGGGCGUAAAGAGUGUGCAGGCGGCUGCAUAGGACUGUUGUGAAAGACUCGGGCUUAACCUGGGAACCGCAUAUGUGACUGAUAGGCUGGAGUGCGUCAGAGGGAGGUGGAAUUCUACGUGUAGGAGUGAAAUGCGUAGAGAUGUAGAAGAAUACUGAUGGCGAAGGCGACCUGCUGGAACGCAACUGACGCUCAUACACGAAAGCGUGGGGAGCAAACAGGAUUAGAUACCCGGGUAGUC
rnacentral:rRNA from 1 species